rnacentral:rRNA from 1 species
UGAGGAAUAUUGGUCAAUGGGCGAGAGCCUGAACCAGCCAAGUCGCGUGAGGGAAGACGGUCCUAUGGAUUGUAAACCUCUUUUGUCGGGGAGCAAAACGGUCUCGUGAGACCAUAAGCGAGAGUACCCGAAGAAAAAGCAUCGGCUAACUCCGUGCCAGCAGCCGCGGUAAUACGGAGGAUGCGAGCGUUAUCCGGAUUUAUUGGGUUUAAAGGGUGCGUAGGCGGACUGGUAAGUCAGCGGUUAAACUGCGGAGCUUAACUCCGUAUUGCCGUUGAAACUGUCGGUCUUGAGUGAGCGAGAAGUAUGCGGAAUGCGUGGUGUAGCGGUGAAAUGCAUAGAUAUCACGCAGAACUCCGAUUGCGAAGGCAGCAUACCGGCGCUCAACUGACGCUGAAGCACGAAGGCGUGGGGAUCAAACAGG